GCCCUGGUAGCUCAAUUGGAUAGAGCGCUUGGCUACGAACCAAGAGGUUAUGGGUUCAACUCCUGUCCAGGGCGCCA
rnacentral:tRNA from 1 species